AGUGGCAGUCAGGACCUGGAGCUGAUAAGGGUUUUCUCUUCAGUCUUUGGCCUGCCUCUCC
rnacentral:pre_miRNA from 1 species